rnacentral:rRNA from 1 species
ACGUACACUCCUACGGGAGGCAGCAGUGGGGAAUAUUGGACAAUGGGGGCAACCCUGAUCCAGCCAUGCCGCGUGAGUGAUGAAGGCCCUAGGGUUGUAAAGCUCUUUUGUGCGGGAAGAUAAUGACGGUACCGCAAGAAUAAGCCCCGGCUAACUUCGUGCCAGCAGCCGCGGUAAUACGAAGGGGGCUAGCGUUGCUCGGAAUCACUGGGCGUAAAGGGUGCGUAGGCGGGUCUUUAAGUCGGGGGUGAAAUCCUGGAGCUCAACUCCAGAACUGCCUUUGAUACUGAGGAUCUUGAGUCCGGAAGAGGUGAGUGGAACUGCGAGUGUAGAGGUGAAAUUCGUAGAUAUUCGCAAGAACACCAGUGGCGAAGGCGGCUCACUGGUCCGGUACUGACGCUGAGGCACGAAAGCGUGGGGAGCAAACAGGAUUAGAAACCUAGUAGUCCC